rnacentral:rRNA from 1 species
UACGUAGGGUGCAAGCGUUAAUCGGAAUUACUGGGCGUAAAGCGUGCGCAGGCGGUUUGUUAAGACAGAUGUGAAAUCCCCGGGCUUAACCUGGGAACUGCAUUUGUGACUGGCAAGCUAGAGUAUGGCAGAGGGGGGUAGAAUUCCACGUGUAGCAGUGAAAUGCGUAGAGAUGUGGAGGAAUACCGAUGGCGAAGGCAGCC